GUUCGAACUGGCUAUGGGAAGGAUAUGGUAAAAGUUCUUCAUAUUCGUCGAGACGGAACAUAUCACAGCAUUAAAGAGGUGGCAACUUCAGUGCAACUUACUUUGAGUUCUAAAAAAGAUUACCUGCAUGGAGACAACUCAGACAUCAUCCCUACGGACACCAUCAAGAACACUGUUCACGUCUUGGCCAAGUUCAAAGGGGUAAAAUGGAGUUAAGCAUGUCCAUGCAUUUAUUCACACUCCCACCGGAACACACUUCUGUGAGGUCGAACAGACAAGGAAUGGACCCCCAGUCAUUCAUUCUGGAAUCAAAGACCUCAAGGUCUUGAAAACGACCCAGUCUGGAUUUGAAGGCUUCAUCAAGGACCAGUUCACCACCCUCCCUGAGGUGAAGGACCGUUGCUUUGCCACCAAAGUGUACUGCAAGUGGCGCUACCACCCGUGCAGGGACGUGGACUUUGAAGCUACCUGGGGCACUGUUCGGGACACUAUCCUGGAGAAAUUUGCUGGGCCCUAUGACAAAG